UACAGAGGUCCCAAGCGUUGUUCGGAUUCACUGGGCGUAAAGGGUGCGUAGGCGGUCGGGUAAGUCUGAUGUGAAAUCUCACAGCUUAACUGUGAAACUGCAUUGGAUACUAUCCGGCUCGAGGAAUGGAGGGGAGACUGGAAUACUUGGUGUAGCAGUGAAAUGCGUAGAUAUCAGGAAGAACAUCAAUGGCGAAGGCAGCCUUCUGGGCCAUAAUUGACGCUGAGGCUCGAAAGCGUGGGGAGCGAACAGG
rnacentral:rRNA from 1 species